rnacentral:rRNA from 1 species
GACGAACGCUGGCGGCGUGCCUAAUACAUGCAAGUAGAACGCACAGUUUAUACCGUAGCUUGCUACACCAUAGACUGUGAGUUGCGAACGGGUGAGUAACGCGUAGGUAACCUGCCUGGUAGCGGGGGAUAACUAUUGGAAACGAUAGCUAAUACCGCAUAAUAUUGAUUAUUGCAUGAUAAUUGAUUGAAGGAUGCUAUUGCAUCACUACCAGAUGGACCUGCGUUGUAUUAGCUAGUAGGUGAGGUAACGGCUCACCUAGGCGACGAUACAUAGCCGACCUGAGAGGGUGAUCGGCCACACUGGGACUGAGACACGGCCCAGACUCCUACGGGAGGCAGCAGUAGGGAAUCUUCGGCAAUGGACGAAAGUCUGACCGAGCAACGCCGCGUGAGUGAAGAAGGGUUUCGGAUCGUAAAGCUCUGUUGUAAGAGAAGAACGGGUGUGAGAGUGGAAAGUUCACACUGUGACGGUAUCUUACCAGAAAGGGACGGCUAACUACGUG